AACGAACGCUGGCGGCAGGCCUAACACAUGCAAGUCGAGCGAGGACUUCGGUCCUAGCGGCGGACGGGUGAGUAACGCGUGGGAACGUGCCCUUUGCUUCGGAAUAUCCCUGGGAAACUGGGAGUAAUACCGGAUGAGCCCUUUGGGGGAAAGAUUUAUCGGCGAAGGCUCGGCCCGCGUUGGAUUAGGUGGUUGGUGGGGUAAUGGCCUACCAAGGCGACGAUGCAUAGCUGGUUUGAGAGGAUGAUCAGCCACACUGGGACUGAGACACGGCCCAGAAUCGGACGGGAGGGAGCAGUGGGGAAUAUUAGGCGAGGGGGGAAAACCUGAUCUAGCCAUGCCGCGUGAGCGAGGAAGGCCUUAGGGUUGUAAAGCUCUUUGAGCUGAGAAGAUAAUGACGGUACCAGCAGAAGAAGCCCCGGCUAACUCCGUG
rnacentral:rRNA from 1 species